AAAAGUCGUAACAAGGUUUCCGUAGGUGAACCUGCGGAAGGAUCAUUAUCGUACAACGGAGGCACCUAGGGUUGUCGCUGACCUUUACAGGUCGUGCACGCCCAGAGUGCUCUCUUACAUCCAUUUUACCCUUUGUGCAUCACCGCGCGGGGCCCCCUUAUCGGGGCUUUUGCGUUUUUACAACAAACACCACAUGUAUAGAAUGUCUUUUUGCGAUCACACGCAAUCAAUAUAACUUUCAACAACGGAUCUCUUGGCUCUCGCAUCGAUGAAGAACGCAGCGAAAUGCGAUACGUAAUGUGAAUUGCAGAAUUCAGUGAAUCAUCGAAUCUUUGAACGCACCUUGCGCCCCUUGGUAUUCCGAGGGGCACGCCCGUUUGAGUGUCGUGAAUAUCAUCAACCUUCCUGGUUGAAACCAGGAAGGCUUGGACUUUGGAGGUUUUCUUUGCUGGCUUUCAUUCAAAGUCAGCUCCUCCUAAAUGAAUUAGUGGGAUCUGCUUUGCUGGUCCUUGACGUGAUAAGUAUCCUUCUACGUCUUGGGUUAUGCAAUGUCACACUGGAACCUGCUUCAAACUGUCUUUGAAUGAAGACAACGUUCGAGUUGCCUCGCGAGUGGUAGCUUGACCUCACUGACCUUGACCUCAAAUCGGGUGAGACUACCCGCUGAACUUAAGCAUAUCAAUAAGCGGAGGA
rnacentral:rRNA from 1 species